ACAGCAGUAGCCGCGGGAAUACAGAGGGUGCGAGCGUUAAUCGGAUUUACUGGGCGUAAAGCGUGCGUAGGCGGCUUUUUAAGUCGGAUGUGAAAUCCCUGAGCUUAACUUAGGAAUUGCAUUCGAUACUGGGAAGCUAGAGUAUGGGAGAGGAUGGUAGAAUUCCAGGUGUAGCGGUGAAAUGCGUAGAGAUCUGGAGGAAUACCGAUGGCGAAGGCAGCCAUCUGGCCUAAUACUGACGCUGAGGUACGAAAGCAUGUGGAGCAAACAGGAUUAGAUACCCCAGUAGUCCCUGUCUCUUAUAC
rnacentral:rRNA from 1 species